AGUAAAGUGCCUGAUAAAAGAGUAAUUUUGAUAGAAUUAAAAAUGUGUUUUAAAACACCUUUACUU
rnacentral:tRNA from 1 species